UGUCAGAACUCCAUAAACACAUACACGGAGUCGGCCUUCAAUGCCAGCUCUCCGAGCGGGGAGAACUUUCCGGAGGCUCGCUGAGUCGAGGGUGAGAGUAAGCAGGGCCGCUCAACUGGCCCCAGAGUUUAUGCAGAGGCCAGCCAAGCAGCAAUGAUACACUGCACUGGAGGAGAGAGACGCUCGGGAACGGCUGAAGGAAAAGGGGAUGAAUUGGGAGCAGGAAAGCAGGAGGAGAGGGAGAGAGGUGGAUGUGCAGACGUCACAUCUCCUGAUAUAUAUGCAUAACUGUGUCUAUAUAUAUACUACCCUAUAUAUACAAAUGUAUAGAGUCAGACUGGAUGGGUUAGAGAGCGAGGCAGUAGUAGAGAAUGAGAAAGACUGAAGGAGGGGAGGAAUUAACAGGACAUGCCCACUGAAACUUUCCAGUGUCUUUGCCAGAGAACAAAAAAAAAAGAGGUCAGUCCAGAUGCCGUUCACUGGCUAUUCAGCUUCUCUAGAGUUGAGAGGUGGAGAGAUUGAUAAAGAAAAAAUGGAUGUCAAAGAAGAAAGUUAAGCACGGUUUGGAUGGAGGAUUGGACUCAGAUUGGAGCUGAACCUGGACAUCAUUUGACCGGCAGAUGUUGGACAAUCAACCUCCGUUCCAGUGGUCGGGGGUUAAAGGUCACCACUUACUGUGGCCUUCGCUGAUAAGGAAACUGUUUUAGAUUCUAGUAGUUUCUGGUCACUACGUUCGCAGAGCAGCGAGGCAAACGAACAGUUCUGGCUUAUUAAGAGCUUGCAGUUGCCUUGACCCCUUGCAGCUGUAGACGCUCUUGGCUCGGUCGGUGGAAGAGGAGCAGCCUCCUGGACUGUCCCUCCUGAAAGCGUUCAGCCACUGGGAGGUUACGUAGAGGUCAACGCUCGCUUUGCAGCCAGAGGCUUGGAGGAAAUCCAACGCUAGCAACAGCAGCGUCUCUCACUCCCGCCGCUCGCUCGUCCUUCUCAUCGCCGUCUGUUCGCCCGUGCUAUUGUUGCAUGCGUGCCAUGCGGAGUGUGACGGUCCUAAGAUGACAUCUCAAGGCUUUCAACCUUCAUCAUCUGCGCUUUCAUCCUCCUCCUCUAUCAAUGAUCUGCAUCCAAGUCCAGAUUCCACAGCUAAAUGCUGCUAAGUUAUCGCUGGACCGUGUGUUUUGAGAGUUUACAGCGGUUCAGUUUAAAGCUUUCUGCCCUGUAUGGUAGCUCACCCUCACCUUCACCCUCCUCCUGGGUGAGCUUCAAUUAUUCAUAAGCCUUGGGUAGCUAACUUGAAACCGAUAACCCACAUGCUAUUUAUACUUCAUUUCAAAUGAACAAAUAGUGAACUGUGAAGUUCCAGGCAGCUUGGCCGUGUCUGUCUGCAUAGCUGCUGCUGGGC